rfam:Cyanothece sp. PCC 7822, complete genome.
AAGACAUAAAGUCAAUAUCACCCUCCGAUUGCUUAUCCAAGCCGCCCGUUGUCUAGGGGCGGUUU